rnacentral:rRNA from 1 species
GACGAACGCUGGCGGCGUGCUUAACACAUGCAAGUCGAACGGAAAGGCCCUGCUUUUGUGGGGUGCUCGAGUGGCGAACGGGUGAGUAACACGUGAGUAACCUGCCCUUGACUUUGGGAUAACUUCAGGAAACUGGGGCUAAUACCGGAUAGGAGCUCCUGCUGCAUGGUGGGGGUUGGAAAGUUUCGGCGGUUGGGGAUGGACUCGCGGCUUAUCAGCUUGUUGGUGGGGUAGUGGCUUACCAAGGCUUUGACGGGUAGCCGGCCUGAUAGGGUGACCGGCCACAUGGGGACUGGGAUACGGCACAGACUCCUACGGGAGGCAGCAGUGGGGAAUAUUGCACAAUGGGCGGAAGCCUGAUGCAGCAACGCCGCGUGCGGGAUGACGGCCUUCGGGUUGUAAACCGCUUUCGCCUGUGACGAAGCGUGAGUGACGGUAAUGGGUAAAGAAGCACCGGCUAACUACGUG